UUGUGUGUGCAUGAAUGUGCAUGCAUGGGUGCGUCAUAGGUCUGUGUGUGUGCCUGUGCUUGCAUUUGUGUGCAUGCUGGGGUUGAACCCAGGGCCUCAUACAUGCAUGUCACUGGUUUUUCUUUUCAUUCAUCUCAACAAGUUUUCUAAUUUACCUGAUGAUUUCUUCCUUGACCUAUUGGUUAUUCAGGAUUGUUAUCUAAAUCUGUCUGUGAAUUUAUCAAUUUCUCCUUUGUUUUUGAAUUCUAGUUUUCUUUCAUCUUGAUCAGAUAAUACAUUUUGAAUGAUGUCAACCCUCUUACAUUCAUCCAGAUUUGUUUCAUGUCCUACUGUGUGUUUUGUUCUGAAAAAUAUGUCACGUGUCCCUAAGAAGAACAUGCCUUUUUGUGUUGAGCCUCAUCAGACCACCGGCAGCACUGAAUGGUCCUCCCCCAGAUGUCAAGCGUGACUGUGACACGUGCUCCACAUGACAGCCUUCAAGGCCUAUUGCUCAUGUCGCUUGCUGUCCAGCACAGCCACGAUGGCUGGAGAGGGCAGGGGGUGAGACGGGCUUCAGAUUUCAAGGUCACUUAAGGGCUAUGGCUGGGAUGUCACUUCGCAUCUUGGCACAGAAGGGAAGGCCAAGGUUCACUUCAGCUGGCCUGCUGUGAGGGGGAGCGAAGGGAAGGAGAGGGAGUGGGCUUACAGCUGGGGCACUCAACCUCACAAGUGGCAUCUUCAUCACAGCGUCACCCCUGAAACUCGGUCACCCCUGAAACUUGAUCACGUGGCUAUAAGGUGCCUUUUUUUACUUGGCUUAAACAGCUGCCUCAGGCAAAAAGCUCAGGGAGUGAUCCCUCUCUUCAGCACCUUCUUCAGCAGCGGUGUUGUGUGGCCUGAGUGAGGUGAAGGCCCCGUUGGUAGAGGGAGUCUGUGCCCCUGAAGGGGUAUGGAGUCUUGGGUACAGACACACGUGACCUUGAUUUGCAGCUUGGGUAUCUGGGGGUAAGAGAUUCUGGGUUCACCUCUUUAACCCAAAGUUUUUGAAGAGGGGCUGAUGUAGAUGUUUACUGAACAGCAGUCCUCAGGCNUCCAGCUGCUGGCUGAUGAUUGGCUCACAG
rnacentral:lncRNA from 1 species